CUCGCGCACAUCUCUGUUUCGAACCAGAGGUGUGCACGAACAACGUUAUUCGCGAAUAUUUGCAAAUAAUUCAAACAAUUAUUUGUUUGCGGCUAUUUUUUACGGAGUAAUUAUUCGGUAAUUAUUCGUGAACAAUUUCGAACAAUUUACAAACAAAAUCAAACAAUUUUUCGAAUUUUGACAGUUGAAUUCGGUUGAAAUAUCGAUUGAAUUACCGAAAUUGGUACAACUUCUUUGUCGUCAGAAAUAGUCAAACUUGUUUAAUUUUAUAGUUUCAGUUCAGAGUUUCAGACUUUCAGUACGUAAUGCUCAUUGAGACGGCGUGGUCGUGACUACCACACGAAUUAUUCGUGAGACAGCACGAGAAACUAAGUGCUAGAACGCUAGAAGUGUGCUGCUAAAGGUGGCACAAUUCAUUAGUUGCCUUGACUGAGGCCUAUUGUUUGCUAGCAGGUGUUAGUCAAGUGCCAUUUACCACCUAAUAACCACACUGCAGGUGGCACGAUUCACUAGUUGCCUUGACUGAGACCUAUUGUUUGCUAGCAGGUGUUAGGCAGGUGCCAUUUACCACCUAAUAACCACACUGCAGGUGGCACGAUUCACUAGUUGCCUUGACUGAGACCUAUUGUUUGCUAGCAGGUGUUAGGCAAGUGCCAUUUACCACCUAAUAACCACACUGCAGUUGCCUUCGCUAUGGCAUCUUGUUGCUCUCCAAACGACGAUUUGUGGGAAAAUCACCUAUCUGAUGAUACGGAAGAGCGGUUGGAGUGUCCUGAUGACACUAUAUCGGAACAGUUAGUUGACUUGGCUCAAUCAAAGGAAGCUUCUUCUACAUCUACGGAUGCUACUUCUGGAAAGGUGCAACCUAAGGCGAAGUCUUGGGUCUUUAAACACUGCCAAAAAGUGGGAGGGAAAAACGUAUGCAACAUUUGCAAAAAAUCAUUCUCUGGAGGAUCCACCUCUCCUAUAGCCUACCACUUGGAGCACCUUCACAAGAUAUUUUCGACAUCGGUGUCAAACAGUUCAGGGUAUCAAAUCCCCAAUCGUACAACUUUCGCUAGAAACUUCAUUCCCACUGCCUACAGACAGCUUCGUGCUUCUCUUGAGAAGGAACUUGAACAAACCGAGUUUGUCUGUCUUACGUCAGACAUGUGGACUGAUGACUAUCUCCAUUGUUCUUAUAUGACUGUGACUGCCCACUUUCUAACUGACUCUUGGUCAACGCGGAGUGUUGUGCUAUCCACCAAACGUUUUUUGCUUCAGCAUACCGGUGCUAAUAUAGCCACUGCCUUAAAUGCAAUCGUUGUUGAAUGGGGUCUUCAUGGGGGUCCAAAGUUCGUAAUUGUAACUGAUGGAGGGGCGAAUAUUAAGUUGGCCGUUGAGUUACUUGGGUGGUACCAUGUUGAAUGUUUUGCGCAUAAGCUAAAUUUGUGCCUUACUACUAAUGGGUACAAAACCGUCCCGGAGAUUAACGCAUUGAUAAAAAAAUGUAAAUAAUGCGGGGUUUUCUAUACAAAAAACCCGGGUUGUGGGUCGGGGCGAUAGAGGGAACCCGGGUUUUUUGUAUAGUAAACCCCGCAAGAGGGUACCCCUUUUCUGAUACCCAUAGUGAAGGAACCAGGGGUCUAUGACCAGGGUUGUGUUUUGCCAUGGUUUUGUUGUUUGUGCACCAGUCAUUUUUUGCAUUUUAAUCCAGUUCUGGUCUCAGUUAUUAUUAAUUAACAAACGUUUCUUACAAAGAAAAUAUAUUCAAGAAUUUCGAAUGAA
rnacentral:misc_RNA from 1 species